AGGGAUGGAGUACUUCAACCUGCUGGACACUCAGAUCCGCCACUUCCUGUCUCCUGAGAUCCAUGAACUGUUCCAGAGGAAACUCCGAGACCGAGCGCUGCAGGAGAUGCCAAACUUCCGCUGGUGUGCUCACUGUUCGUUCGGCAUGCUUCAUGAAGCGGACCGGUUGAGAAUGGACUGUCCCAGCUGCAACAAGAGUACCUGCUGUCAGUGUAGAUCAGCUUGGUCUCCUGAACAUCAGGGAGUUUCCUGUCAGCAGUUCAGAGUCUGGCAGCAGCAGAACCACCCGGAC